UACGGAGGGGGCUAGCGUUGUUCGGAAUUACUGGGCGUAAAGCGCGCGUAGGCGGAUCUGCAAGUCGGGGGUGAAAUCCCGAGGCUCAACCUCGGAACUGCCUUCGAUACUGCGGGUCUUGAGUCCGGGAGAGGUGAGUGGAACUCCUAGUGUAGAGGUGAAAUUCGUAGAUAUUAGGAAGAACACCAGUGGCGAAGGCGGCUCACUGGCCCGGAACUGACGCUGAGGUGCGAAAGCGUGGGGAGCAAACAGG
rnacentral:rRNA from 1 species